rnacentral:rRNA from 1 species
CAGCGCCACAAGUGGCAAUCAUGUUUAUUGGGCCUAAAGCGUUCGUAGCCGGUUUGAUAAAUUCACUGUGAAAUUGCAUUGCUCAACUUUGCAACGUGCAGAGAAGACUGUCAAACUAGAGACCGGGAGGAGCUUGGAGUAUUCUUGGGGGAGCGGUAAAAUGUUAUAAUCCCUUGAAGACUACCUGUGGCGAAGGCGCCAAGCUAGAACGGUUCUGACGGUGAGGGACGAAAGCCAGGGGAGCGAUCCGGAUUAGAUACCCGAGUAGUCC